AGAGUUUGAUCCUGGCUCAGGACGAACGCUGGCGGCGUGCUUAACACAUGCAAGUCGAGCGAUGAAGUUUCUUCGGAAAUGGAUUAGCGGCGAACAGGUGAGGAACACGUGAAGAAUCUGCCCUCCACUUUGGGAUAACACCGGGAAACCGGUGCUAAUACCGAAUAUUGAAACAUAAGUGGCAUCACUGAGUUUUGAAAGAAUUUCGGUGGAGGAUGACUUCGCGGCCUAUCAGCUAGUUGGUGAGGUAAUGGCUCACCAAGGCAACGACGGGUAGCCGGCCUGAGAGGGCGACCGGCCACACUGGGACUGAGACACGGCCCAGACUCCUACRGGAGGCAGCAGUGGGGAAUAUUGGGCAAUGGAGGAAACUCUGACCCAGCGACGCCGCGUGCGGGAUGAAGGCCUUCGGGUUGUAAACCGCUUUCAGUAG
rnacentral:rRNA from 1 species